ACCGAGCAGGAGCAGUUUGACCUCCCUGGCCGCCUUCUCGCCGUCCUCCCGCAGGUUCUUGUCGAUGAUCUUGGAUCUCUCGGCCGCCGCUUUGUCUUCGGCGCUCACCGUGCAGCCCAUGGCGGCGAUAUGUGCGAACCGAGACGAGAGUGCGCUAGACCGAGAGCCCCGGGCUCCGCCGCGAUUCCCGGGCAACUCCACCACAGCGGUACGGCCGACACAGCCGGGCUCCGACAGCCGAGUACACAGCACUGAGGCACACAGACAGUCCGGCCGCAGACAGCAGAGUACACUGCACACACAGACACACAGCCGAACGACGCCCUGUGAGCACUGAGACCAGACCACGCCCACCUCGCU